AACAGGAGGUAAUCGAAAAGAAACAUUCAGGAAUAAAAAAUCCUCUCAGAAAUUAAAUACAUGUCAAUGGAAAGAAAAAUAAAUAAAUAAAAGCGUUGAAAGAUAAUGUUGCAGAAAUUUCCCAGAAAAAUACAGCCAAAAAGUCAAAGAGAGAAAAUUGCAGAGAAAGAAAACAGGAAUUUGAGCAUAAUUUUGGAAGACUUAAGGUCCAACUAGUAGAUAUCCUUCAAAUACUAGGAGGAAACAGUGAGAUAGAUAUAGGGGAGGAAAGUUUCAAAUAAGCUGUUUGGUAUGGUUUCCUGUGUCUCCACCUAAAUAUCAUUUUGAGUCAUAAUAAACAGCACAUGUGAAGGGCAGGGUGAGGUGGAGAUAGUUGAAUCAUGGGGCUGGUUUCUCUCAUACUGAUCUCAUGGUAAUGAAUAAGUCUCAAAAGAUCUGAUGGUUUUAUAAACGGGAGUUCCCCUGCACAAGUUCUCUUUUGCCUUACGCUAUGUGAGACAUGCCUAUGCUUCUCCUUUGCCUUUCACCGUGAUUGUGAGGCCUCCCCAGCCAUGCUGAACUGUGAGUCCAUUAAACCUCUUUCCUUUAUAAAGUACCCAGUUGGGUAUGUCUUUGUUAGCAGCACGAGAAUGAACUAGUAUACUCUCUUCAAGAAAAAAUGUCCACAGUGGAAGGAUAUGAAUUUCUAGAUUGAAAGGACUUAUAAGGAAUCAAAUACAUGAAGCUCAGAGCAGUUGAGACAAAGCAUCCCUAAAAGUUUCCAGGAGAAAAUAUAGUUUACAUAAAAGAGUCAGAAUUUAGAAUGACAUGAGGCUUCUAGAAGCUUCUAGUAAGCAAUGGAGUGAUGCCAUCAAAACCCUGAAUCAAUUUCCACAAACCAAACUAUCAUGCAAGUGUGAAGGUGCAAUAAAGACAUUUUCAGACAUGUAAGAUCUUGUAAAACUUACCUUCCAUGCUCCACUUAUCCAGUGAAGAUAUUGGAAAAUAUGCUCUGUCAUAACUAGGAAGUAAACUUUUUUUCUCAUUCAUAUUUUCAGUGGAAGUCAGGUAUGAUUAUGGAGGCUCUGAUGGGCUCCCUAAACCCCAUUAGGAGUCCUUACCAGGCAGCCACUCAGUGGAGAGUGAAGAAACCCAACUUAAGCUUGUUUGAGAAAGAGGAAAAUCUGUUGCUGCAUGCAUCUGGAAAGUCCAGGGGAUAUGAGCAUCAGGUGUGGUUUGAUCCAGGUGCUCAAAUAACAACAUUAAACUCACUUCCCAUCCUUCUUCUUCUCUUUCAACAUUUCAGCUCUUCUUUUCUCCUGAUUGCCUUCAUUCUCAGGGAAAGAUUAUCCACAUGGUAGCUUCUGGCUCUCAUGCCUGUCUGAGACCAUCCUGUUACUCCCAGUAAUGCUAGGAGUGGCUGCUUCUCAGAACAUUGGUGUGCUCCUGGGAUAAUUGCCUUUCUGGAAAUCACAUUGUAGCUUAUUCAGAAGCACUUUUAAUAGAGAUCUUUGGAAUGACCCUGGGUAGAACUUUAUCAAAACCUGGAGCAUAUCAGCAAUACCUGGAGAUUCUAUCAAAAACAGCAAGGCCAGCACAGUGGGUAAGAAUGGACUGUGGACAGGAACAGAGGAGGAAUCUCAGUCAAAUGAAUUGCUGGGGGGAGGAAAAUUAUAUGCUUUGAGCACUUCUUUUUUUGAUGGGCAUUUCAUACACAGAGGCAGUUAAAAGUAUGUGCUCUGCAAUCAUAGCCCUGCUAGGGAUAUAUCAGGCCCUUGAUCUUGAGUGCUUCUUAAACUUUAAAGUGCUGGGAAUGAAGGGAGGAUCUUGUUAAAGGGCAGAUUCUGUUUCAGUAGGUCGGGGGGCGCUUGAGACUCUGCAUCUCUAACCAGCUCCCAGGGGAUGCAGAUGCAGAUGCUGCAGUGCAUAGAACAUGCUUUGAGUACCAAAGACUUAACUUUUCUGGGCUUUAGUUGCCUCACAUGUAAAAUGUGGAUAUCAGUGCCUUCAUCAUAACAUCAUAGAGAGAAUUAAAUAAGAAUGUAAAGAACUUGGCCAGGUGCAGUGGCUCAAGCCUGUAAUCCCAGCACUUUGGGAGGCCAAGGCAGGCGGAUCACCUGAAGUUGGGAGUUCACGACCAGCCUGACCAACAUGGUGAAACCCCGUCUCUACUAAAAAUAUAAAAUUAGCUGGGUGUGGUGGUGCAUGCCUGUAAUCCUAGAUACUUGGGGAGGCUGAGGCAGAAGAAUUGCUUUAACCCGGGAUGCAGAGGUUGUGGUGAGCUGAGAUCGUGUCAUUGCAUUCCAGCCUGGGCAACGAGAGUGAAACUCCGCCUCAAAAAAAUAAAAAUAAAAAAAAGAAGAAUGUAAAGAACUUACAAGGGCUCUUGACACAGUAUAAGCACUCUAUAAAUGCUAUUAUUUCUGAAGAGUGGUAACAAUGAAGGUGCCAUCAUGAAGACCGAGGGUACGAAUGCCAGGUGCUCCAUGUGGGGCCUGAUGCAUAAAGAGCUUUGGAUGAGGACUUCCUAUGUACACAGCACGUGAUGCUGUUUCUCAUUCAAUCCCUACUAACUCUAUGAGACAGAUACUAUCAUCCUUUACAUUUAAUAGAUGUGCAAACCAAAACUUAAGUUAAAAAAACUUGUCCAAGAUCAUAAGUUUACCAAGCAGCAGAGCUGGGGUUUAAACCUAGGUCCCGUGGCAGUAAAACUUGUGAAUGUAGUCAUUAACCAGCCCUCCAAUAAUAAUUGUUACUGUUAUUAUCUUAUUAAGUCCUCAUGACAAAGGUAGAUUUUCAUGCCCAUUUCACAGGAGAGGAAACUGAGUUGUAGGGACUUUAGUAACUUGUCUAAAGUCACAUACACAAUCCUCAUCCCUUUCUCAUAUACAAGGUUGAUAGGGAGGUGGUGACAUCUUUUGAGGUGAGCUGAGGGUGGCACAUGGGCCAGAAUUCGGGUUCUACCCUCCCUGUUACAGACCCGUGUUUUUCAUGAAGGCCCCUGACAAGAGCUGAACAGGCAUCCAUUGUCCUCCUCACUCCACCGGGAUGGUUGAGAGAAGCCCUCCUUUCUUCACUGAGGAACUUUGUACCAAGUCACUUGCAUGUCUAUGCUACCUACCCCCCACCUGAAUUCAGCAGGACAACACAAAGAAAGCAUGAAGAACUUUGCUGUGCUGCUUUUGGAAAAUCUGCUAACCCCUAGCACAACCAAUCCAUCUUAAGAAUGAAACAGCAGUGAUUCAGCAGUGAAACAGCAGUGACGGGAAAGAGUUGUACAAUUCCAGGGCACUCAAAAGUGAUGGAAGAAGGGCACUCAAAAGUUGAGGAUGAUGUAAGUGUUAGGUUAGUUUCUUCAGGACUUAGACUCUGAGAGGGAGAUGUACAUGCAGGAGGUUUACUGGGGUGACUUUAGAGUCCUCACCUGUUAGGGAUAAAGGCAGAGUUGAACUGAAAUACCGGGCCUCAGCCUAUCCCACGGGGAUAUCUCUGGAGCUGGAAUGGCCCAAGGGAAGGCCUUCCUUGACUAGUCACUGGAUGCAGGCUGUCCCUGAGGAGGGUGAGACCUUGGCGGGGAGCAUCCUCCAGCUGAGAGCAAUGCCUGGCCACUCAGCAGCGAGUCAUAACCCUCCAACCCUCCCAGCAUUGGGGGGUAUGAGUGUUUCCACUCUGAAAUGGGGAGCUAGGACUACAGCAUCCACCACAGCACAUCAGAUGGACUAUCAAGGUGUUGAACUUGGCAGCUUUGUAGGGAAACUAUAAAUCUUGUUUUAAGAAUAAAAUACCCUACUGGCAAAUCCAAAGACUGUUUGGGGAACAGUAAUGAUUUUCCUAAUGAUGGCAACUAGUCAAGAAGGCCCCAUAGUCCUGUCCAACCCUAAAAGUUUUCUAACUCAAUUAUUGGUUGAGAAUGGAAAAUAACAGAAAAGAAUCAAGGAGGUAUUGUGAAUGAAUUCUUUAGCACAGUGUUUCAUCCAUUUCCGCCUAUUUUGGAUUUCCUAUUUCCAACCUAUACCAAAUGUGCUUGCGUACACAUACACAUGACUAACCUUAAAUAUGGCUUCCUUUUAGAGACAUAAAAAGCUCCUGAAUCAACUCCAAUAACAUUUCCCCAGACUUUCUUUGAAAGGUGCAGAUGAAUGAGCUUGACAGAAAACUUUUUGCUUGAAAUUUUCCCUUUCUCAGAUUGCAUAAAUUUAAGGGGAAAGCCUGCCAAAUGUUCAAUGACGCUCAGCAUGGUGGCUUCUGGCAGGGACACGCUGUACCAGCAGCUAAAUGAAUGUUUCCCUGAAUCACUGACUUAUCUUCCUUUAUCACCUGCUCUGUUCCCCCUCUUCUGCACUGAGGCUUUGUAAAUGACGUGGGCAGGGGAAGAAAAAAAAAAAAACUUCAGAACCACAACAAGACACUGCAUAUUGAUGUUGGAUAUUGAGAAUUCAUCUGGUAUUAAUAGAUAAGAUUGCAGUGAGGAGCAUGAAAGCUAUCGAAAGCUAUCUUCAAGCCUAAAGUGGACAAGAUCAGUCAAGCCCCAACGCUACAGAGUAUCUGGACAUUUUGGGCUGUAGCUUUGUGUUAGGAAACUUCUUGUUUGUGUUAGGAUUUACCAGAUGAAUUGGGUCAUAUAAUUCCCUUUUUGAAACCCUUAAAAUGAACCUCAAACCGCCUAGCCUGGCCUAUUAAUAAUAGGUUCUACUGAGCCUGCCCCCCGGCCACCUGCCUUCCAACCUCAUCCUAAACUGUGCUCACCCUCACUCCCUGUACCUCAGCCAUACCAACAAAAUCCCUCAGGCUCCUCCAACACGAUAAGACAAAGCCUUUCCAGAGUCGCAGCCUUCAGCCCUGCUGCCUGGAAUGCUUUUCUCGCAGCAUUUCCAUGGCCAGCCUCCAGGUCGGCUUAAAUGUUCCCUCUUUAGAGAGGCCUUCCCCGACUGUGAUCCUCCACUUUUAUUCUCGAUCCUCAUAGUAUACUUUUGGCUUCCUUCACUGUAUUCUCCUAUGAGAAUUUGUGGCCAUUAUUUGCUCAUUUCUUAUCUCUUUUCCAUGCUAGACUCCUCUCCCUGAAAUGGCAGGGACAAAAGCUACCUUGUUCACCACUGAAAACCCAGUGUCAGGCACACAGUUUAUUUGUUAUUUGAAUGAACAGUGUUUCACCCAGAGCCUAAGUCCUGUGCUCUCUCAUUUAAAAAGGAACACUUAUUUACACAUUUGUAAAUGAAGGCUUUGAAUAUAUGGAAAUAUCUCACAGACAUGAGAUGGGAGACUUAUGUUUCUAGUAUGAGGACAUUCUAAACCCCCGUCACAACUAAAGGUUCCUUCUUAUCCAUUCUCAGGGAGAACAGCUUUUGUUUUAGUUGAGGUAUAACUUACUGUGGUAUAUGGCACACAUUUUAACUGAAUUUUACAUGUGUAUACAUCCAUAUGGAGAUCAGGAUCGAGAUGUAGAAUAUUUAUGGCACCUCGGAAGGCUUCCACAUGAGAGGGUUCCUCCCAGGCAGUACCAUCUCAGAGGUAGCCACUGUACUGUGACAGCUCCCCCACCAGGUUCCCAAAGGGUGUAAGUCUGUUGCCUGAACUCUGAGGGCCAGGCAGUGAGCCAAGACCCUGGUGCCGAGCUAAGGAGCAGGUGUCCCUGAGAACCUAAACAUCCCGGAGAGUAUCUGAGGACCUACCAAGAAAAACAGUUGCAUUUUUCAAACAUGUAGGCAAAGAGCUAGAAAAUUAGCUUAAAAGCAGUUUAUGGAUGGGAGGCAGGGCGGAUCUCUAGAGCUAUCCUGCCGCCAUCCUGGAGUGCCCUGUAUGUAAGUCCCAAUAAACUCAUCUACUCCUCA